UACGCAGGGGGCGAGCGUUAUCCGGAUUCAUUGGGCGUAAAGCGCGCAUAGGCGGCCAGUUAGGUCGGGAGUCAAAUCCCGGGGCUCAACCCCGGUCCGCUCCCGAUACCGGCUGGCUUGAGUCUGGUAGGGGAAGGUGGAAUUCCAAGUGUAGCGGUGGAAUGCGCAGAUAUUUGGAAGAACACCGGUGGCGAAGGCGGCCUUCUGGGCCACGACUGACGCUGAGGCGUGAAAGCUAGGGGAGCGGACA
rnacentral:rRNA from 1 species